AGUUGAGGCAGGCGGAAUUCGUGGUGUAGCGGUGAAAUGCUUAGAUAUCACGAAGAACUCCGAUUGCGAAGGCAGCCUGCUAAGCUGCAACUGACAUUGAGGCUCGAAAGUGUGGGUAUCAAACAGGAUUAGAUACCCUGGUAGUCCACACGGUAAACGAUGAAUACUCGCUGUUUGCGAUAUACUGCAAGCGGCCAAGCGAAAGCGUUAAGUAUUCCACCUGGGGAGUACGCCGGCAACGGUGAAACUCAAAGGAAUUGCCGGGGGCCCGCACAAGCGGAGGAACAUGUGGUUUAAUUCGAUGAUACGCGAGGAACCUUACCCGGGCUUAAAUUGCAGAUGAAGUACGGUGAAAGCCGUAAGCCGCAAGGCAUCUGUGAAGGUGCUGCAUGGUUGUCGUCAGCUCGUGCCGUGAGGUGUCGGCUUAAGUGCCAUAACGAGCGCAACCCUUGUUGUCAGUUACUAACAGGUUCCGCUGAGGACUCUGACAAGACUGCCAUCGUAAGAUGUGAGGAAGGUGGGGAUGACGUCAAAUCAGCACGGCCCUUACGUCCGGGGCUACACACGUGUUACAAUGGGGGGUACAGAGGGCCGCUACCACGCGAGUGGAUGCCAAUCCCCAAAACCUCUCUCAGUUCGGACUGGAGUCUGCAACCAGACUCCACGAAGCUGGAUUCGCUAGUAAUCGCGCAUCAGCCACGGCGCGGUGAAUACGUUCCCGGGCCUUGUACACACCGCCCGUCAAGCCAUGGGAGCCGGGGGUACCUGAAGUGCGUAAACGCGAGGAGCGCCCUAGGGUAAAACUGGUGACUGGGC
rnacentral:rRNA from 1 species